AGAGUUUGAUCAUGGCUCAGAACGAACGCUGGCGGCGUGCUUAACACAUGCAAGUCGCGUGCGCAGUUGCCGUAGCAAUACGGUGAUGGGCGCACGGCGCACGGGUGCGUAACACGUGGGCAAUCUACCCUUUGAUGGGGAAUAACCCGCCGAAAGGCGGGCUAAUUCCGCAUAAGAUUCCCGAGACUUCGGUCUUGGGAUUGAAAGCAGCAAUGCGUCGAAGGAGGAGCCCGCGCCCGAUUAGCUAGUUGGUGAGGUAACGGCUCACCAAGGCUAUGAUCGGUAGCUGGUCUGAGAGGAUGAUCAGCCACACUGGAACUGAGACACGGUCCAGACUCCUACGGGAGGCAGCAGUGGGGAAUCUUGCACAAUGGGCGAAAGCCUGAUGCAGCGACGCCGCGUGGGGGAUGAAGCAUUUCGGUGUGUAAACCCCUUUCGACUGGGACGAAUGCCUCGCAAGAGGAGUGACGGUACCAGUAGAAGAAGCCCCGGCUGACUACGUGCCAGCAGCCGCGGUAAGACGUAGGGGGCCAGCGUUGUUCGGAAUUACUGGGUGUAAAGGGUUCGUAGGCGGUGCGGCAAGUUGGGAGUGAAAUCUCUGGGCUCAACCCAGAGGCUGCUUCCAAAACUGCUGUGCUCGAGUGUGAGAGAGGCGCGUGGAAUUGCAGGUGUAGCGGUGAAAUGCGUAGAUAUCUGCAGGAACACCCGUGGCGAAAGCGGCGCGCUGGAUCACUACUGACGCUGAGGAACGAAAGCUAGGGGAGCAAACAGGAUUAGAUACCCUAGUAGUCC
rnacentral:rRNA from 1 species